rnacentral:rRNA from 1 species
GAUGAACGCUGGCGGCGUGCCUAACACAUGCAAGUCGAACGGACAGGCCCUGCUCUUGCUGGGUGCUCGAGUGGCGAACGGGUGAGUAACACGCGUGUAAACCGUCCUUGACUUUGGGAUAACUUUAGGAAAAUGGGGCUAAUAUCCGAUAGGAGCUCCUGCAGCAUGGUGGGCGUUGGUAAGAUACGGCGGUGGGGGAUGGACUAGCGGCUUCCCAGCUUGUUGGUGGGGUUGUGGAUUACCAAGGCUUUGACGGGUAGCCGGCCUGAGAGGGUGACCGGCCACAUUGGGCCUGAGAUACGGCCCAGACUCCUACGGGAGGCAGCAGUGGGGAAUAUUGCAGAAUGGGCGGAAGCCAGAUGCAGCAACGCCGCGUGCGGGAUGACGGCCUUCGGGUUGUAAACCGCUUUCGCCUGUGACGAAGCGUGAGUGACGGUAAUGGGUAAAGAAGCACCGGCUAACUACGUG